CCUACGGGUGGCAGCAGUGGGGAAUAUUGGGCAAUGGGCGCAAGCCUGACCCAGCAACGCCGCGUGAAGGAAGAAGGCUUUCGGGUUGUAAACCUCUUUUGCCGGGGAGCAGUGCCCAGCUCGUGUGCUUGGAUGGCGCGUACCCGGAGAAAAACCAUCGGCUAACUCCGUGCCAGCAUCCGCGGUAAUACGGAGGAUGCGAGCUUUAUCCGGAUUUAUUGGGUUUAAAGGGUGCGUAGGCGGGCCUUCAGGCCGGCGGUAAAAGUGCGGGGCUCAACCCCGCCGAGCCGUGGGAACCGGGGGGCUUGAGUAGCGGAGAAGUACGCGGAAUGCGUGGUGUAGCGGUGAAAUGCAUAGAUAUCGCGCAGAACCCCGAUUGCGAAGGCAGCGUACCGGCCGGACACUGACGCUGAGGCACGAAAGCGCGGGUAUCGAACAGGAUUAGAUACCCCGGUAGUC
rnacentral:rRNA from 1 species